GUUACCUUCAAAUUAUAUACUUUCUUUACAUUGGAAAACGCAAUUUAUAAAACGUUGUAGACGGCCUCAGAUCUCCAACUAGAGAAACCAGACCUCGCAUUCUUUGCUUCUUUCUGUUCACUCCGCUGCAGUACAGGUAUUUUUAAAGUAUUUGAGAUGGUUGACAUGAAGGAGAACGACACUUACCAGGAGGAGCUUCUUGAUUAUGAAGAGGAUGAAGAAACCGCCCCCGAUCUCGUCGCGUCUAAGGCUGCCGCUGAGACCGUUAAAAAAGGUUAUGUUGGUAUCCACAGUUCAGGAUUUAGAGAUUUUUUGUUAAAACCAGAACUACUUCGAGCUAUUGUUGAUUCUGGAUUUGAGCAUCCUUCAGAAGUGCAACAUGAGUGCAUUCCUCAGGCCAUCCUUGGUAUGGACGUUAUUUGUCAAGCAAAGUCUGGAAUGGGGAAGACUGCUGUCUUUGUGCUUUCAACUCUUCAGCAAAUUGAACCUGUUGCAGGGCAAGUCGCUGCCCUUGUGCUGUGCCAUACUCGAGAGUUGGCAUAUCAGAUAUGCCAUGAAUUUGAGAGGUUUAGCACCUACUUGCCCGACGUAAAGGUUGCAGUAUUCUAUGGAGGUGUGCAUGUCAGAAUUCACAAGGAAUUGCUAAAAAAUGAAUGCCCUCAUAUUGUUGUCGGAACUCCUGGACGAGUUUUGGCAUUGGCAAGGGAUAGAGAACUUAAUCUUAGAAGUGUUAGACAUUUUAUUCUUGACGAGUGUGAUAAAAUGCUAGAAUCUCUUGACAUGCGGAGAGACAUACAGGAGAUUUUCAAGAUGACUCCCCAUGACAAACAAGUAAUGAUGUUCUCUGCAACUCUGAGCAAAGAAAUUCGGCCAGUCUGCAAGAGAUUUAUGCAAGAUCCAAUGGAGAUAUAUGUGGAUGACGAGGCAAAAUUGACAUUGCAUGGAUUAGUGCAGCACUACAUCAAGCUUAGCGAGUCUGAGAAGAAUCGGAAACUGAAUGAUCUGAUGGAUGCAUUGGAUUUCAAUCAGGUUGUUAUUUUUGUCAGGAGUGUAAGUAGAGCAGCUGAGCUUAACAAGUUGCUUGUGGAGUGCAAUUUUCCUUCUAUCUGCAUUCAUUCUGGAAUGUCACAAGAGGAAAGAUUGACUCGCUAUAAGAACUUCAAGGAGGGCCUCAAAAGAAUUUUAGUAGCAACAGAUUUAGUUGGCCGAGGAAUAGACAUUGAACGUGUAAAUAUUGUAAUUAACUAUGACAUGCCAGAUUCGGCAGAUACUUAUUUGCACAGGGUUGGGAGGGCAGGAAGGUUUGGUACUAAGGGUCUUGCUAUUACAUUUGUUGCUUCAGCAGGUGACUCAGAUGUGCUUAAUCAGGUUCAGGAGCGAUUUGAAGUUGAUAUAAAGGAGCUUCCUGAACAAAUUGAUACUUCAACAUAUAGUAAGUACAAUUUGAUCUUUCUUUGCCUUGAACUCUCUUGAAUCCUGAUGAUGGAUCACGUGGUGUGAUCCAAAAUGUUGAUGGUUAAUAAAUUUUUCACACAAUCAAAUCUAGAGACUAGAAGCAAUAUUAAUUUAUUGAUUGUUUCUUUUGAAAUGAAUUUGCAUGCCUAUCUGUGAAUUGAAGACAUAUUCAAAUUAUUUGGGGGUCUACGCUUUAGUUAUAUAGAUAACACAUAUAGUGAGUUCAUAAUUGUCAUAACUGAGGUAGAAGCUUAAAUGUAACUUUGUUUAAGCUUUGGGUGACAUAAUUGACCUAUUCAUAAUGUGUUUCUCUUAACAGAGAAGGCCUGAUUGUUAAUGUUCACCAUUAAAAAACAAGACUCUAAUUUGUUGGAUUUAGCUAUUCUGCUACUGGGUUGGCAAGAAUUAUUAAUCAGUGUUGUGUAUUGCUUGCCUUCUUUUGCUAUCUUUUUCCUCAGAGAUGGAGGAUUGAAAAAUAUAUAUUUAUCUCAAGGAAGCCUUGAAGUGUUUAAUGGGUUCAUCAAUAGCCAAUGUGUAGAUGUGGGACAACAUAUAGACAUCUUAAUUUCCUUU